GUGCUCGCUUCGGCAGCACAUAUACUAAAAUUGGAACGAUACAGAGAUUAGCACGGCCCCUGCGCAAGGAUGACACGCAAACUCGUGAACCAUUCCAUAUUUUU
ensembl:snRNA U6 U6 spliceosomal RNA